rnacentral:rRNA from 1 species
UCCAUAGGUCUAGACUGCUGGAAUGCUUUUAGAUUGAAAGAUUUAUCGCCUAAGGAUAAGUCUGCGGACUAUCAGGUUGUAGUCAGGGUAAAUACCUGACUAGCCUAUGACGGAUACGGGUAGUGAGAGCUUUAGCCCGGAGAUGAUAUCUGAGACACGAUAUCAGGCCCUACGGGGCGCAGCAGGCGCGAAAACUUCGCACUGUGCGAAAGCACGACGAGGGGAUCCCAAGUGCUGGCUCGUAAGAGUCAGCUGUUUCUCUGUCUAAAAAACAGGGAGAGUAAGAGCUGGGUAAGACGGGUGCCAGCCGCCGCGGUAAUACCUGCAGCUCAAGUGGUGGCCGCUAUUAUUGGGCCUAAAACGUCCGUAGCCGGUUCUAUAAAUGCCUGGGUAAAUCGUACGGCUUAACCGUACGAAUUCCGGGUAGACUGUUUAACUUGGGACCGGGAGAGGCUAGAGGUACUCCUGGGGUAGAGGUGAAAUUCUGUAAUCCUAGGGGGACCACCAGUGGCGAAGGCGUCUAGCUAGAACGGGUCUGACGGUGAGGGACGAAGCCCUGGGGAGCAAACGGGAUUAGAUACCCCGGUAGUCCAGGGUGUAAACGCUGCUCGCUUGAUGU